rnacentral:misc_RNA from 1 species
GCAGUCUCUUUUCAAACUGAAAAACUUGGCAGGUUAUGCAAGUGCUAGGAAAUGACAAUGAGAUGAAGUGUGGAAGGGAUAAAGUUUUUUGAGAGCAAUUGCUUGGAGUUUGGUCUAGGAACAACUAGCAGAGUGUGGAACUUGUCAUGGCAGGAUAAUUGAUCCCGUCUCCAGCGUAGAGCAUUUGUCUUUUGUCAGACUAAGCUUGAGUCACCAAGCACAAAUAUUAUUAAAUUAAGCCUAUGAAUGUCCAAAUUUUA